ACUUGGCUGGUUCAGUUGGUAGAACAUCAGACUCUUGAUCUCAGUGUCAUGAGUUUAAGCCCCAUGUUGGGCA
rnacentral:tRNA from 1 species